rnacentral:rRNA from 1 species
UACGGGGGGAGCAAGCGUUGUUCGGAUUCAUUGGGUGUAAAGGGCAGGUAGGUGGUCGGGUAAGUCUGACGUGAAAUCCCUCGGCUCAACCGAGGAACGUCGAUCGAUACUGCUGUUCUUGAGGAUUGCAGAGGAGACUGGAAUUCCCGGUGUAGCGGUGAAAUGUGUAGAGAUCGGGAGGAACACCGGUGGCGAAGGCGGGUCUCUGGGCAAUUCCUGACGCUGAGGCGCGAAAGCGUGGGGAGCAAACGGG